UUAAUUGAAGCCAAAUAGAGGCAUAUUACUGUUAAUGAUAUCACUGAAUUUUUAUUCCAAUUAAA
rnacentral:tRNA from 1 species